UCCUCCUACAAAGGCAUGUCUUCUAUUCCCUGUCAUUGGACAUGUAAUAAUUGAAGAAAUGUGAAAUUGGAGAAAUUUAGGGCCAGUUUGUCCUCUGCAGGCUCAAGAUCAACUAUAUUUCAUAG